AGCCUUCUGGGUCCGAGGCUCCCACCUGCUCUAAGCGCUUGACACCCUUUAAAAAAAUGUAUUUAAAGAGGCUGGUUCCUAUCCAUCCGACUGGAGGCAUCUCAGUGCAAGAGCAAAGCUAAGUCCUGCACACGCUCCUCCCCUCCUCCUCCUCCUUCUCCCCCCAGGUUUUCCCGAAUGUAUCUACUCCGGUUACAACUAGACGCGGCCCCUCCCCCACCUGCCUCCCCCCUUCCUUCCCUCGAUCGUGGAGGGAGCGUUCUCUGUGCCUUCCCAAGUCCCCGUGGGGGACCUUCUAUGUUGGAGUGGGGGGAGGGGGGGAGGGUCAUAUAACGAAGGCCAGAAAGAACAAAUUAGAUAAUCAAAAGAAUUAUAGUAAUUGCUUUCACUUUCCCCCGCCCGCUCAGCGGAUUCCCUCCCCCGCCCCUCCCCUGGUUUUUCUGUCUGUCGGGAAUACUCGGUCUUUCCGACCCCCUCCCCUCCCCCAGGUUCCUCCUCUCCUCUCCCCUUGCUCGCGCGUUCCCUCUCUUCCUCCGUUUUCUGGUGUGCUGGAACGUUCAGCGGAAUAUGAUGAAUGAUCACCUGUCACAGCUUGUUUAUUAUAAUGCAGGCAAUCAAUUACACAUCCCCAAUGCUGGCCGGCCCGCAGGAAAUUUAUAUGCUCAGCACAAACCAAUGUGAAAAUGGAAUCUCAUUUGCCAAAUGUCUUUCUCCCCGUACAGCACGAUGAUUACAGUCUGUGUUUGUUUCAACAGUCGUGUACAACUGACAGUGCCAUCAUUUACUGCCUGGCUCAGGUCACGUUACUCUAAGGCUUUAUUUAUGGUGUUACGAAGGGCAGCACAGGAAAAGGACAAGGGUGUCUGUCAGGGAUGGCACUGUGUUAAAAAGUGGGCGUGCAAGGGCCGCAUUCCCGGGCAGCCGCUGCAACCUCAGCCCCUGGGCCCUUACCUCCGCAGCCUCUCCCAGCAUCCAGCUACCCAGACUCCAAGGCCCCAGGCGAGAGCCAGCUCUCGGUACCUGGAGCUCCACAGGUCCCAGAAUCGGGGUGGAUCAGAGUUCAAAUUCUGGUUCUGCUACUGUCUAAUUGCGUGCUGCAGGGACUCAAUCUCUUCAUCUGGGAAAUGGGAGUAAUAACCCUUGGCAGGAAUGUUGCGAUCCUCUGGGAUGUCAGAGGUGUUGAUGAAUGUUAGUUCCCGGGACUUCGGAAAGAGGUCCCGUUGGAAGAGAUGUGAAUUGGAAUUCACACCCUAUAUUAAAAUCUCCUCCAAUCUUCACCUCUGAGACAUGGCUGUCUCAAGACUGUUUUGUUUCCCUUCCUGGUGGAAUUUUGCACUUUUAUGUCCUGUGUAGCAGCAGGUAGUGUGGCUUUGAGAAAAUAAAAUGGCCACCUUGCUCCGCUGUUCUUUCUUUGUAAAAAAAAAAAAAAAAAAAAAAAAACGGCAUAGCAAUCUUGGCCUUUCUAGCUGUGUGACCCCAGGCCGGUCAAUCCCUCCUCCUCUCCAAGCCUCGGAUUCCUCCCCUGAGAAGUAAAGAAAAUAACUCCUAAACUGCCUCCCGAGGCUUGCUGGCAGGAUCCAAGGUGUCCAGAGAUGUU
rnacentral:lncRNA from 10 species